UCAAGCUACAAAGAGCACAAGGGGAAUGCCUUGGCACCAAGAGCCGAAGAAGGACGUGACAAACUGCGAUAAGCCACGGGGAGCCGUAAGUAGGCGCAAUAACCGUGGAUUUCCGAAUGGAGCAAUCCGGCUGGGGUAAUGCCCAGUCAUCAUAUACUGAAUACAUAGGUAUAUGAGGGGAACCGCCUGAACUGAAACAUCUAAGUAGGGCGAGGAAGAGAAAUCAACAGAGAUUCCGUAAGUAGUGGCGAGCGAACGCGGAAGAGGCCAAACCUAGGUUAGUAAUAACCUAGGGGUUAGGACAGCAAUAUGUAACAAUCUAUCUAGCAGAAUAACAUGGGAAGGUUAACCAAAGAAGGUGAGAGUCCUGUAAGCGAAAGAAAUGAUUGAGCUAGCUGUAUCCAGAGUACCGCCGGACACGUGAAACCCGGUGGGAACAAGGGGGGACCAUCCUCCAAGCCUAAAUACUACUUGGUGACCGAUAGCGAAUAGUACUGUGAAGGAAAGGUGAAAAGAACCCCGGGAGGGGAGUGAAAAAGAACCUGAAACCUUGUGUUUACAAGCACCGAAAGCCCGUCAAAGGGCGAUCGGGUACCUUUUGUAGAAUGGUCCGGCGAGUGAGUGUAUCUGGCAAGGUUAAGCACUUAAGGUGUGGAGCCGAAGCGAAAGCGAGUCUGAAUAGGGCGACUAAGUCAGAUGUACUCGACCCGAAACCGGGUGACCUACCCAUGUCCAGGUUGAAGUGGAGGUAAAACUCCAUGGAGGACCGAACCGACUCCCGUUGAAAUGGUAGCGGAUGAGGUGUGGGUAGCGGAGAAAUUCCAAUCGAACCCGGAGAUAGCUGGUUCUCUCCGAAAUAGCUUUAGGGCUAGCCUCGGAAUAGAUUACUGGAGGUAAAGCACUGUAUUGGCUAGGGGCCGAGAGGUUACUGAACCAUAACAAACUAAGAAUGCCAGAUAAUCGUUUUCCGGGAGUCAGACGGUGGGAGAUAAGUUUCAUCGUCGAAAGGGAAACAGCCCAGACCCACAGCUAAGGUCCCAAAGAAUAGUUAAGUGGAAAAGGAUGUGGGGUUGCACAGACAACCAGGAUGUUGGCUUAGAAGCAGCCACUCAUUAAAAGAGUGCGUAAUAGCUCACUGGUCGAGUGACCCUGCGCCGAAGAUUUAACGGGGCUAAACUAUACACCGAAGCUUGGGAUGACGUAAGUCAUGGUAGGAGAGCGUUCUGUAAGGGGAGAAGUCACAACGAAAGUGGUGGUGGACUUUACAGAAGAGAGAAUGCCGGAAUGAGUAGCGAGAAAUAUGUGAGAAUCAUAUUGGCCGAAAGUCUAAGGAUUUUGGAGGAAGGUUCGUCCGCUCCAAGUUAGUCGGGAGCUAAGGCGAGGCCGAAAGGCGUAGUCGAUGCACAUACGGUAGAUAUUCCGUAACCACUUGUAAUUUAAGCAAAGGGACACCUGAGAAGGGCAUAACCCCGGUGUUGGUAUACCGGGGCGUAAGGGACCGAAAUUUAAGUAGGGAAGUAUGCUUGGAACAGGGCGAGAAAAGCUUUGUGAAUAGAUCAAGUGCCCGUACCGCAAACCGACACAGGUAGAUAGGAAGAGGAUUCUAAGGCCAACGGGAGAAGGGUAGUUAAGGAACUCGGCAAAUUGACUCCGUAACUUAGGGAAAAGGAGUGCUCAUCGAAAGGUGAGCCGCAGUGAAUAGGCCCAGGCGACUGUUUAGCAAAAACACAGGUCUCUGCCAAAUCGAAAGAUGAAGUAUAGGGGCUGACACCUGCCCGGUGCCGGAAGGUUAAGAGGAGGAGUGAGAGCUCUGAAUUGAAGCCCCGGUAAACGGCGGCCGUAACUAUAACGGUCCUAAGGUAGCGAAAUUCCUUGUCGGGUAAGUUCCGACCCGCACGAAUGGUGUAACGAUCUGGGCACUGUCUCAACUACCCGCCCGGCGAAAUUGUAGUACCGGUGAAGAUGCCGGUUACCUGCGACAAGACGGAAAGACCCCAUGGAGCUUUACUGUAGCUUGAUAUUGGGUUUCGAUAAUUUAUGUACAGGAUAGGCGGGAGACUAGGAAACCAGGGCGCCAGCCUUGGAGGAGUCACCCUUGGGAUACCGCUCUUAAAUUAUUGGAAUUCUAACCUGCGGCCAUGAAACUGGUCGGGGGACAUUGUCAGGUGGGCAGUUUGACUGGGGCGGUCGCCUCCGAAAGAGUAACGGAGGCGCUCAAAGGUUAGCUCAGCACGGAUGGAAACCGUGCAUUUGAGUGUAAACGCAUAAGCUAGCCUAACUGCGAGGAUGACGGUCCGAGCAGUAACGAAAGUUGGAGUUAGUGAUCCGGCGGUAUGUGAAUGGAAAUGCCGUCGCUCAACGGAUAAAAGCUACCCUGGGGAUAACAGGCUGAUCUCCCCCAAGAGUCCACAUCGACGGGGAGGUUUGGCACCUCGAUGUCGGCUCAUCACAUCCUGGGGCUGUAUUCGGUCCCAAGGGUUCGGCUGUUCGCCGAUUAAAGUGGUACGCGAGCUGGGUUCAGAACGUCGUGAGACAGUUCGGUCCCUAUCUGCCGUGGGCGCAGGAUAUUUGAGGAGCUCUGUCCUUAGUACGAGAGGACCGGGAUGGACGCACCUCUGGUGCACCAGUUGUCACGCCAGUGGCACAGCUGGGCAGCUAUGUGCGGAACGGAUAAACGCUGAAAGCAUCUAAGCGUGAAGCCGGCUCCAAGAUUAGAUAUCCCAUCGAUUAAUUCGAGUAAGACCCCUUGUAGACUACAAGGUUGAUAGGCUGCGUGUGUAAGUGUCGCGAGGCAUUAAGCUUGGCAGUACUAAUAGGUCGAGGGCUUGACCAC
rnacentral:rRNA from 1 species